rnacentral:rRNA from 1 species
AACGAACGCUGGCGGCAUGCCUAACACAUGCAAGUCGAACGAGACCUUCGGGUCUAGUGGCGCACGGGUGCGUAACGCGUGGGAACCUGCCCUUAGGUUCGGAAUAACUCCCCGAAAGGGGUGCUAAUACCGGUUAAGGUCAUCGGACCAAAGAUUUAUCGCCUUUGGAUGGGCCCGCGUUGGAUUAGCUAGUUGGUAGGGUAAAAGCCUACCAAGGCGACGAUCCAUAGCUGGUCUGAGAGGAUGAUCAGCCACACUGGGACUGAGACACGGCCCAGACUCCUACGGGAGGCAGCAGUGGGGAAUAUUAGACAAUGGGCGCAAGCCUGAUCCAGCAAUGCCGCGUGAGUGAUGAAGGGCUUAGGGUUGUAAAGCUCUUUUACCCGGGAUGAUAAUGACAGUACCGGGAGAAUAAGCUCCGGCUAACUCCGUG